rnacentral:lncRNA from 1 species
UUUUUUUUUUUUUUUUUUUUUUUUUUUGUCUUUUUGCUAUUUCUUGGGCCGCUCCCGCAGCAUAUGGAGGUUCCCAGGCUAGGGGUCGAAUCGGAGCUGUAGCCACCGGCCUACGCCUACGCCAGACCCACAGCAACGAGGGAUCCGAGCCGCGUCUGAGACCUACACCACAGCUCACAGCAACGCCGGAUCCUUAACCCACUGAGCAAGGGCAGGGACCCAACCCGCAACCUCAUGAUUCCUAGUCGGAUUCGUUAACCACUGCGCCACGAUGGGAACUCCAGGCCUCCCCCUUUCAACCGGUGUGUUGCUCAGUGUUGCAUAGAUGCUUGUCCUGCUCCAUGAAAAAAAAAAAAAAAAAAAGUCUCUGGAACUGCUAGACAUUAUACUCCUGUCCUAAGGAAUAUUAACACUUUAGGUGCUGAGGAGACUUGCAUUAAAUAAAUCAACUUAACCCGUUUUAUUUCUCACUUACGUUUAACGAGAUGAGCCCGUUAUUUAUUUAGCAAACACACAGCACACUCUAGGUGUGCUUUAUAAAGGCUAACUCAUUUAGUGCUCAUAACAACUCCGGAAGGGGAAGUAUUAUUGUUUCUCUUGCUUUAAAAGAUGAUGAAACCAUGGCACAGAGUAGUUACGUCUUUUGCUUAAGAUCACACGGUUUUGUAGAACAAGGAUUGGACCGCAGUCUGCCUCCAAAAUCUAAACUCUUAUCACUCUGCUCAACUGCCCCUCCAGUUUAAAACACACACACAAACGUGCACACACACACACUUAUGUGCAUGUAUAUAUCCCACAAUUAAAAAUAAUAAGGCUGGAAUUCCCACUGUGACUCAGCAAAAAUGAAUCCGACUAGUAUCCAUGAGGAUGCGGGUUCGAUCCCUGGCCUCGCUCAGUGGGUUAUGGAUCUGGCGUUGCCCUGAGCUGCAGUGUAGACUGCAGAUGUGGCUCGGAUCCAGCGUUACUGUGGCUGGGGUGUAAGCUGGCAGCUGCAGCUCUGAUUCGACCCUUAGCCUGGAACCUUCCAUAUGCUGCAGGUGAGGCCCUAAAAAGCAAAAGAGUAAUAGUAAUAAUAAUAAUAAUAAUGCCAUUAUUAUUGUAAUAGCCGUUAAUAUCCUACCAAACAGUAACUCCAGACGGUAUACUUUAAGAAAGGCUGCCUGAGACCCUCCUCUGCAACGGCAUCUCUGCCAUCUCCAUCACUUGGUCCCAUCACAGAAUCCAGCACCAUCCAAGCUCCCCCAGUGCUCUAGACACCAGUUCUUCUCAUGGGGGAAAGCAAAGUACCAGAAGCCACAGGGGGUCCAUAGCCACCUCCUCUUUUACGGAAACAUUUCCCAGCCAGUCUUCCCCUUCUUUGGCGUGGUACUCGUUCCCAUUUCAGUGAGCUUUGCAGGGUGGUGGGUUUUAUCUACCCUUUUCCUGAGGAAGAAGAUCUCUUCUUUGGGGUCUUCUGUUCCCGUGGAACAAUCCUUCAUUGGUCCUCUCAGCAUCUCAGCUGUCCACACCACACUCCUAUCCACUUUGCGUCUAAUCAGCAGGAAGUGCCUUUCUAGGUAAAAUGAGAAGUUAGGUUAAUGUGGAAAUCUCCAGGUGUUCAGAGAGCAUGUCCUGUGCCCAGUUUUGUGUUGGGAGAAUGGAAUCUGAUGCCUGGUCUCUUUCAUGGCAGGGGACCUGCAUGAAUGGAGCACAGAAGGCGAGUCUUGGGAAAACCAGACUUGGAAAUGUCUCGAUAUAAGUACCUCUGACUCUCUGCUUCCCUACUUUAAGUCACAGCACAAGUUCAAAUCUCCUAAACAGUGUCAUUUUAUAAAGUGUCCCCAAAGGAGAGGCCCUCAGCAAUACUGAAGGUCAGGGUGGGCACACAGUUUUCUCUCCAAUACCAAUAGCAGUGGGUUGGAACCGUUGCUUAAACUGUCCUGGUGAUAUUUUAAGACUGAAUCUGAGUUUAAAGAGUAAGGACAUUGUGAUCAGUUCAGUGGAGUGUAUCUUCUAGAAUGUUACUAAUUCAGUGCUGUGGAUUCCUUGGAUGUCAACUUGGAGAGGGAUUCUUGGGGAAGUGAUGGAUUGAGAGAGGGCUCUCAGGAGAAGCUGGGAAAGGAAACCAGGCUGGAGCAGGCGGAGACAGGUAGGCAAGGAUGUGGGCUCAGCUGAGGACUAGCCUACUCACUGGACAUGAAUCGCAGCCAGGGGACUGACCUUUUGUAUGCUGGUGGUCAGGCAAUGGCUGUGGCCAGUGGGGGCAGUGAUGGCACACACCCUCCAGCCCAGUGGCUCUCCUCAGCAUACAGCUAUUCUGGGGAGAAGGGAGCAGCUGUGAGUCAUUAGCAGCCAACACCACAGCAGCUGGGAAGUGGGUGCAUCAGCCCAGUGAAGGGGGUCUGGGCAGGGCACCAAGAACACCCACUGCUGGCACAGAAUGAGAGCAUAAUGGCCCGCUGGCUAGUUAGCAUCCUUAAUAUAGCACAGCCAGCUCCUUUUGCAGGUGAGAAAUGAUGCCCAGGGAGAGGAGCUGAAGUCAAAACCCCUUUGCACACUACCAGCAUCUUCCAUGGCUUGAUCCUAUAACCAACUCUAUUCAACCGCCAUGCUCUGCUCAGGGCACAGCUGAUAUUCCAGCCCUGCCCAUGCCUGCAUGACAAGGAUUCAGGCCCUUCUUGUGCUGUCAUGCAUUUCUUCAUGCUUCUCCUUCUGUAGAAGCCUGCAAGAUACCUUUCCUUUCUUCUCUACCAAGCAAUUCUAAGUAACCUGUAGCCUCCAUUCAUAACAUCUGUAAUGGUAGGUCCAUCAGAGAUGGCAUAUGGGGGUUUUGUCCCUUUAAAAACAAUCUGGAAGGCUUUGUAGUCUCAGAGCAGAUGAGCUGUUAGAGCUCAUAGAUUAUCUAUAAGAUCUGUGCUGCCAUCAUGGAUCUCCUAUAAGUAUUUCUAAAACAGUAUAGAUUUCUUGUAGCAUCUCACAGAUUGCCUAAGAUAAUCACGCUGUGUUCAAUAGUCAUUCAUUCAAUAAUCUAUUGUGUGCCUACUCUGUGCCAGACCACACUGUGGAGAAACCAGGUGAACAAAACUGACAAGGUCCCUGCCCUUAUUCUAAGCAGAAUAAAGGCUAUCAAUGUAUGUAGAACUAAUAAAUAAUUUCUGGUGUCAUUAAGUGCCAUUGAGAGUGAUGGGGCAAAGACUCAAAACUCAUGGGUCAAGGAAAGGCUUCUGUGAGGAGGUAGCAUUUGAGCUGAGACUGAACUGUGAAAAAGAAUCAUCCUGAAGAAGAGGUGAGAAAGGAGCCCUCCUGGCCGAAGAAAGAACAAGUGUAAUAGUCCAGAGGCAGGAAUGAGCUUGACAUAACUGAGGAUCAGGGGAAGUGUCAGGCUGUCCAGGGACUAGUGAGUGAGCAAGCGAGAGGGUGGUAGUACAAAAACGCUGAGAAGGGACCUGGGAUAAAGCAAGAAAAGCCGCAGUGCCUUCCCUCAAGAAACUCACACUCCAUUUUCCAUAGUUACUUGUAGAGAGUAAUAAGUAACAUUACAGAUUACCUGUGGCUAUUUAUGGUACCAUUUCAGUACUUAGAGCUGCUCUGAAAAGUCUGCAGUGAUGGAGGAGUUCCCUUGCAGCUCACAAGUUAAGGGUCUGGUGUUGUCUCUGCUGUGGCUCUGGUUACUGCUGCAGCUUGGGUUCAAUCCCUGGUUCAGGAAUUUCCCCACGCCAUGGAUGUAGCCAAAAAAAUCAGCAGUGAUACUAGAAUUUUAUUGUGAAUUGCCUGUAGGAACAUGAUUUGCCACCUCAAGUCAUUUGGGUUGUUAGAGAUGACUGCUAAAUUCUUACAGUCUCGGUAUAGGUCCAUUCGUGGCCAGCUGUUGGGGGUGCCUCUACCUGCUUUUAGUAGCAUUGUAUAUGACCUCAAGUCAUUGUCAUCCAUUGUAGACCUCUUAAAUACUUUUUUUCCCUUUAAAACAUUAUUGAAGUAUAGUUGAUUUUCAUUUGUGCUAUACAGUUAUUCAAUUAUAUGUGCACUCUUAUAGUUCCCAUUAUGGCUUAUCACUUAGAUGCUUUUCAAUUGCUAAGACUGGCAAAGUAUGUGUGCAGUAUCACUAAGAACUGUUUGGAAAUUAUUGUUAAACCCAAGAAGGUCCCCAAAGAACAAUAUUUUCCUUGACUGAGUUUUUAACUCUCUCUUACUGCUUAACGUGAGAAAUGAAUCAAAAACAAGUAUUUGGUACAAACGGUGGCACCCAGUUGGAAACAUCCCCCCUGUGCAUCAGCAAGGAUGAAGCACAGCUGCAAGCGACAGAGACCCACCAUAAUAAUGGUUUAAACAAAAGAGAAGAAGGUUUCUCUUUCAUAGACGAGUCAGACAUCAACCAUCCAGGGGGCCAGUUUGGCAGUUUUACCCUGGGAAAUCCUCAGGGAUCCAGUUCCUUCCGGCAUCCCGGAAGCUCUGCUAUCCAAGAUGGCUGUCCAGCCACUCCACCUGCAUUCCAGGUAGCAUCAUGGAGAAAGAUGGGAAGAAACAGCAAUGGGUGAACGCUGGAUACUUUUUGCAGAAAGUUUCGAGAAACUAUUACAAUAUGCUCAUGCUAACUAUUGGCCAGAACUUAGCCAUAUGACAUCAUUGCUGCAAGAAGGCUGUAAAAUGCGGUCUUCAUCUGCGGUGGUCACAUGCCCAGUAGAAUAUUCUCUUACUAAGGAGGAAGAGGAUAUGGAUAAUGAGGGCCAAUCAACAGCCUUUCCUACACCCAGGGUGGACACAGCUCAUGUAACAAAAUUCACAUUAGCAGAAAUGCCCAAACCAGUGGUUGCUGGCCCUAGUAUCUUUAAAAAAAAACAAAAAAACAAACAAAAAAAAAAAAAAAAAAAAAAAAACACAGACUAAAUUUAAAAAGGGAAGGAGUACAAAAGUGUGUGGUCAACAUAUAAUUUUUCCUGAGGACAUGAAAAACAACUUAAACUUAUUACCUACCAUUAUCAUCAUCUUACAAAGAAAGAGACUUUACCACAUGUACAAAAACAUAUCUUUAAAAACAUUUUAAAGGGAUUAAAUUUACUUUUGGUAGGGGGUGAGGUAACUCAUUUUUUUCUUUUGUUUCACCACAAGGCAGCAAAACUUUCAUCAUAGCCCAGUAUUAAUAAAUGAUGCUUCAACCACUUAUUUACAGAACAGAAACAGACUCUCAGACUUUGAAAAUUAACUUAUGGUUACCAAAGGGGAUAGGUGGAGGGGGAUGGACUGGGGUUUGGAACUGACAUAUGCACACAGUGGUAUAUGGAGUGUUUGGCCAACAGGGACCUGCUAUGUAGCACAGGGAACUCUACCCAAUAUACUGUGAUAAUCUCUAUGGGAAAAGAAUGAAUGUGUGUAUAUGUAUAACUGAACUGAUUUAUUGUACAGCAGAAAUUAUCACAACAUCGUUAGCCAACUACACUUCAAGAAAAUGUUUUUUAAAAAAUGAUGCUUCCACCCAAAAGCUUUUCUUGAAGACUGUAUGACAUUUUCUAUUGUUAAAUCUUCCCCACAUUUACAAUAAUCAUCACCAUUUCUUUAGAGCACAAACCACUAACUAAUAGACCUGGAGCCAAAUUCUAUUCAUAGAUGUUAUCUUUGACCUAAUCAGCACUUUUAAAAAAAAAAAAAAUUUUGAAUUUGUUGUCAACAGCUAAAUCUUACGGGAUUUCACAUUUCGAAAAAAACGUAAUCCUUGCUUCUCUUGAAAAGUGGGAAGCUCUGGCACGGCGCCCUUGUUUCCACACGAUCACCCCCAGCUGGAUGUAGCUCUGAAGCAUCUGUCCCUUUAGAUGGGCGAGCGCUUGCCAAGUCAUUACAGGUCCCACCUGGCCAGUGCCUGGCCUUUAUGCUACCUGCCAGGCCCCUGCGGAAAUCUGAGCUGGUGACUCUGAGUCAGAGCUAUUCAUGUGCAGGUAUUUAUAUACCUACUUCUAAACUUCACAUCAACCUGAAAGCUAAACAGUCUAGCCUCAUUUUUCAACAUCAAAGAACAGAGCGGCGAGGCGACUUGCCUGAGACCACAACACUCAUAGCUGCCCAUCUGGAAUCUGGACCCAGGCCCGUGGCUCCAAGGCCCGUGUGCAUUCUGUUCUGCCACCCUGCCUUCCACUGGGCCUCUGACCCACAUCUCUGUCAGCCCUCACACAGAGGUAGAAUUAUUCAUGCCAUCUGGGUUAGAAGACUUCAUUAGAAUUUGC